GAGCAUGUAUUUAGUCCAUAUCAGUUAUAUAUUUGAGAGAUGUUUGAUACUUAUAUCAGGCUAAGAAAACUAAAUAAUACUUUUUAACUAGUCUUUUUAGAUAAGGUCAUGGAUUGUUAGAUUUGAUAUCAAAGCAGAUCUGGCCUAUUGCCAAUAUAACUAGGGGAUCUUGCAGCACAAACCUUCUUUGGGUUGACCAUAGACAAAUUGUGGUGUUUGUGGAUGUAUGAUCGAUUUUGACUAGAUUUAGAUCCUUAUAGCUGGGCAAAGACGUCGGAACUAAAUGGGGUGUAUGUUUAGUCCUAGGUUACUUAUACAUAGAAGAGAUCUUAGUAUCUAUAUAGAGCCUAGGAACUUAAAUAAUAUCUUCUUACUAAUUGUUUUGAGAUGAGGUCUUGAAUUGUUAUAAUAAUUUUUUAGCGAAAGGACAUUGAAAGAAGAGUUGACUUGUAUUCCUAAACUUCAACCACAAACAUUGCAACCAAAGCUCAUUGACAACCUUUUCCUAUAUGUAGUCAACCUUUAAGGGCAAGCCACAUGGAUAGCCUCAUUUAGGCACUAAAUUUCUUUAUAAGGG
rnacentral:lncRNA from 1 species